rnacentral:rRNA from 1 species
GACGAACGCUGGCGGCGUGCUUAACACAUGCAAGUCGAACGGAAAGGCCCUGCUUUUGUGGGGUGCUCGAGUGGCGAACGGGUGAGUAACACGUGAGUAUCCUGCCCUUGACUUUGGGAUAACUUCAGGAAACUGGGGCUAAUACCGGAUAGGAGCUCCUGCUGCAUGGUGGGGGUUGGAAAGUUUCGGCUGUUGGGGAUGGACUCGCGGCUUAUCAGCUUGUUGGUGGGGUAGUGGCUUACCAAGGCUUUGACGGGUAGCCGGCCUGAGAGGGUGACCGGCCACAUUGGGACUGAGAUACGGCCCAGACUCCUACGGGAGGCAGCAGUGGGGAAUAUUGCACAAUGGGCGGAAGCCUGAUGCAGCAACGCCGCGUGCGGGAUGACGGCCUUCGGGUUGUAAACCGCUUUCGCCUGUGACGAAGCGUGAGUGACGGUAAUGGGUAAAGAAGCACCGGCUAACUACGUG